UGAUAGUCAUCAGCAAAAGGUUUUGGUA
rnacentral:piRNA from 1 species